GGGUUGGUGGUGCAGUGGUGAGCAUAGCUGCUUAUCCAGCAGCUGACCCGGGUUCAAUUCCCGGCCAACGCA